UUUAAAACUUUGUUGACGUUGCAUACAUGUGGAUAGCAUGUCAAUAUUUACUUAAUUUUUAAAAUUUUAAAAUUAAAAAAAUUAUAAAAACUUUUUAAAAAUUAAAAAACAUUAAAAUUUUAAAAAAUAUAUUUUAAAAAUUUUAAAAAGUAAAUUAAAUUUUGACAUGUCAUCUAGGUGGCAAUCCAUGUAUAUGCCACGUCAGCAAAGUAAACGA
rnacentral:pre_miRNA from 1 species